AAUCCGUGUUGUGGGCACCACCGCAAAAGAUCCUUGAAGCGCUCCCAUGUCUCAAACAAUGACUCCAACUCCAUCUGUACAAACGAUGAUAUCUCAUUGGGAAGCUU